GUGGGGAAUAUUGGACAAUGGGCGAAAGCCUGAUCCAGCCAUGCCGCGUGUGUGAAGAAGGUCUUCGGAUUGUAAAGCACUUUAAGUUGGGAGGAAGGGCAGUAAGUUAAUACCUUGCUGUUUUGACGUUACCGACAGAAUAAGCACCGGCUAACUUCGUGCCAGCAGCCGCGGUAAUACGAAGGGUGCAAGCGUUAAUCGGAAUUACUGGGCGUAAAGCGCGCGUAGGUGGUUUUGUAAGUUGGAGGUGAAAUCCCCGGGCUCAACCUGAGAACUGCCUCCAAAACUGCAUGACUAGAGUACGGUAGAGGGUAGGGGAAUUUCCUGUGUAGCGGUGAAAUGCGUAGAUAUAGGAAGGAACACCAGUGGCGAAGGCGACUACCUGGACUGAUACUGACACUGAGGUGCGAAAGCGUGGGGAGCAAACAGGAUUAGAAACCCGUGUAGUCC
rnacentral:rRNA from 1 species